GAUGAACGCUAGCUACAGGCUUAACACAUGCAAGUCGAGGGGAAACGGCAUUGAGUGCUUGCACUCUUUGGACGUCGACCGGCGCACGGGUGAGUAACGCGUAUCCAACCUUCCCAUUACUGUGGGAUAACCUGCCGAAAGGCAGACUAAUACCGCAUAGUCUUCGAUGACGGCAUCAGAUUUGAAGUAAAGAUUUAUCGGUAAUGGAUGGGGAUGCGUCUGAUUAGCUUGUUGGCGGGGUAACGGCCCACCAAGGCUACGAUCAGUAGGGGUUCUGAGAGGAAGGUCCCCCACAUUGGAACUGAGAUACGGUCCAAACUCCUACGGGAGGCAGCAGUGAGGAAUAUUGGUCAAUGGACGGAAGUCUGAACCAGCCAAGUAGCGUGCAGGAUGACGGCCCUAUGGGUUGUAAACUGCUUUUGUAUGGGGAUAAAGUUAGGGACGUGUCCCUAUUUGCAGGUACCAUACGAAUAAGGACCGGCUAAUUCCGUGCCAGCAGCCGCGGUAAUACGGAAGGUCCAGGCGUUAUCCGGAUUUAUUGGGUUUAAAGGGAGCGUAGGCUGGAGAUUAAGUGUGUUGUGAAAUGUAGACGCUCAACGUCUGAAUUGCAGCGCAUACUGGUUUCCUUGAGUACGCACAACGUUGGCGGAAUUCGUCGUGUAGCGGUGAAAUGCUUAGAUAUGACGAAGAACUCCGAUUGCGAAGGCAGCUGACGGGAGCGCAACUGACGCUUAAGCUCGAAGGUUGCGGGUAUCAAACAGGAUUAGAUACCCUGGUAGUCCGCACAGUAAACGAUGGAUGCCCGCUGUUGGUACCUGGUAUCAGCGGCUAAGCGAAAGCAUUAAGCAUCC
rnacentral:rRNA from 1 species